UACGGAGGGGGCUAGCGUUGUUCGGAAUUACUGGGCGUAAAGCGCGUGUAGGCGGCUAUGCAAGUCGGGCGUGAAAUCCCACGGCUCAACCGUGGAAGUGCACUCGAAACUGCGUAGCUAGAGUCCUGGAGAGGAAGGUGGAAUACUUGGUGUAGAGGUGAAAUGCGUAGAUAUCUGGAGGAACACCGGUGGCGAAGGCGGCGUUCUGGACUGUUUCUGACACUGAAAAACGAAAGCCAGGGGAGCAAACGGG
rnacentral:rRNA from 1 species